AGUGAACGCUGGCGGUAGGCCUAACACAUGCAAGUCGAACGGCAGCACAGUAAGAGCUUGCUCUUACGGGUGGCGAGUGGCGGACGGGUGAGGAAUACAUCGGAAUCUACUUUUUCGUGGGGGAUAACGUAGGGAAACUUACGCUAAUACCGCAUACGACCUACGGGUGAAAGCAGGGGAUCUUCGGACCUUGCGCGAUUGAAUGAGCCGAUGUCGGAUUAGCUAGUUGGCGGGGUAAAGGCCAACCAAGGCGACGAUCCGUAGCUGGUCUGAGAGGAUGAUCAGCCACCCUGGAACUGAGCCACGGUCCAGACUCCUACGGGAGGCAGCAGUGGGGAAUAUUGGACAAUGGGCGCAAGCCUGAUCCAGCCAUACCGCGUGGGUGAAGAAGGCCUUCGGGUUGUAAAGCCCUUUUGUUGGGAAAGAAAAGCAGCAGGUUAAUACCCCGCUGUUCUGACGGUACCCAAAGAAUAAGCACCGGCUAACUUCGUG
rnacentral:rRNA from 1 species